rnacentral:lncRNA from 1 species
ACUGCAAUCAACACUGGAGACUGCUGUAGAGAGAAGACUGUGAUGAGCUGCCUAGGACCCACUCACCAUGGAAAUCUGGGAGUUGUCUUUUGAAUGGCUUUCUGCUGAUAAUCUGCCUCGUGUUUCUGAAGUUCCCCUAGCGAGGGAGACAUUCAAGACGAUGAUGGGGUGGAGCCAAACAUAAUUAAGAAUCAAAGAUUUCCAUCUCAGGGAAGAUGAUUAUGAAUGACAGAAUACAAAAAAACAAAACAAAACAACAACAACAACAAUAAAAAACCAAAGUGCACAGAUACAAAGCAGAACAGAGGAAGACUAAUAUUGCUCAAAGAUGGAAGCUCCAGGGGCUGUCAGCUCUACCUGUUUUACAGCCAGCAAGACUUGGCUUUGGCACUCUGA